UACGUAGGGGGCUAGCGUUGUCCGGAAUCAUUGGGCGUAAAGCGCGUGUAGGCGGUCCGGUAAGUCCGCUGUGAAAGUCGGGGGCUCAACCCUCGAAUGCCGGUGGAUACUGUCGGGCUAGAGUGCGGAAGAGGCGAGUGGAAUUCCUGGUGUAGCAGUGAAAUGCGCAGAUAUCAGGAGGAACACCAAUUGCGAAGGCAGCUCGCUGGGACGUUACUGACGCUGAGACGCGAAAGCGUGGGGAGCAAACAGG
rnacentral:rRNA from 1 species